UACGGAGGGUGCGAGCGUUGUCCGGAAUCACUGGGCGUAAAGCGCGUGUAGGCGGCCUGUUAAGUCUGAUGUGAAAGCCCGGGGCUCACCCCCGGAAGUGCAUUGGAAACUGCCAGGCUCGAGUCCCGGAGAGGAGGGUGGAAUUCCUGGUGUAGCGGUGAAAUGCGUAGAUAUCAGGAGGAACACCGGUGGCGAAGGCGGCCCUCUGGACGGUGACUGACGCUGAGACGCGAAAGCGUGGGGAGCAAACAGG
rnacentral:rRNA from 1 species